UUGCUCUUCAACGAGGAAUGCCUAGUAAGCGCAUGUCAUCAGCAUGCGUUGAUUACGUCCCUGCCCUUUGUACACACCGCCCGUCGCUACUACCGAUUGAAUGGCUCAGUGAGGCCUUCGGACUGGCUCAGGGAGGUCGGCAACGACCACCCAGAGCCGGAAAGUUGGUCAAACUCGGUCAUUUAGAGGAAGUAAAAGUCGUAACAAGGUCUCCGUAGGUGAACCUGCGGAGGGAUCAUUACUGAGUGAGGGUGUAAAUCGCCCGACCUCCAACCCUUUGUUCAACUGUCCUUGUUGCCUCGGGGGCGACCCUGCCUUCGGGUGCUGGGGCCCCCGGUGGACCACAACCAAAACUCUGCGUCUUUGCGUCUGAGUAAUGAAGUAAAUCAAUCAAAACUUUCAACAACGGAUCUCUUGGUUCUGGCAUCGAUGAAGAACGCAGCGAAAUGCGAUAAGUAAUGUGAAUUGCAGAAUUCAGUGAAUCAUCGAAUCUUCGAACGCACAUUGCGCCCUUUGGUAUUCCGAAGGGCACACCUGUUCGAGCGUCAUUUCACCACUCAAGCCUGGCUUGGUAUUGGGCGACGGGGAGACCCGCGCCCCAAUGUCUCCGGCGGGACGUUUUCCGAUCUCAGCGUUGUGGCACAAGUCCGCUGGCGAGAGGGGGCGGCCCGGCCGUUAAACAUCCAUCAAAGGUUGACCUCGGAUCAGGUGGGGAUACCCGCUGAACUUAAGCAUAUCAAUAAGCGGAGGA
rnacentral:rRNA from 1 species